AGUGAACGCUGGCGGUAGGCCUAACACAUGCAAGUCGAACGGCAGCACAGUAAGAGCUUGCUCUUACGGGUGGCGAGUGGCGGACGGGUGAGGAAUACAUCGGAAUCUACUUUUUCGUGGGGGAUAACGUAGGGAAACUUACGCUAAUACCGCAUACGACCUACGGGUGAAAGCAGGGGAUCUUCGGACCUUGCGCGAUUGAAUGAGCCGAUGUCGGAUUAGCUAGUUGGCGGGGUAAAGGCCCACCAAGGCGACGAUCCGUAGCUGGUCUGAGAGGAUGAUCGGCCACACUGGAACUUAGACACGCUCCAUACUCCUACGGGAGGCAGCAGUGGGGAAUAUUGGACAAUGGGCGCAAGCCUUAUCCAGCCAUACCGCGUGGGUGAAGAAGGCCUUCGGGUUGUAAAGCCCUUUUGUUGGGAAAGAAAAGCAUCAGGUUAAUACCCCGCUGUUCUGACGGUACCCAAAGAAUAAGCACCGGCUAACUUCGUG
rnacentral:rRNA from 1 species